rnacentral:rRNA from 1 species
CCCUUAGAUGUUCUGGGCCGCGCGCGCUACACUGAUGCAUUCAACGAGCCUAUCCUUGACCGACAGGUCCGGGUAAUCUUUGAAUCUGCAUCGUGACGGGGAUAGAUUAUUGCAAUUAUUAAUCUUCAACGAGGAAUGCCUAGUAGGCGCAAGUCAUCAGCUUGCGUCGAUUACGUCCCUGCCCUUUGUACACACCGCCCGUCGCUCCUACCGAUUGGGUGUGCUGGUGAAAUGUUCGGAUCGGCCGUUUGUCGCGGUUUCCGCGUCAUGUGGCUGAGAAGUUCAUUAAACCCUCCCACCUAGAGGAAGGAGAAGUCGUAACA